UCUGCAUCUCCUUGCUCACUCACCCUCAAUUGUAUCUCUUCCCACUGCUAUUGUUUCGUAGAGCUUCCACCGCUUCUUUUUCCUUCUGCAUCCCUUCAAUGCGAAUCUUACCCUUUUCGUUUUAAUUCUGUAAAUCAUCCGUCGAUGUGCUCCACCGCCUGGCUACAUAACCAAUUGUUUUGGGCCAACCCGCUAUUAUAUGCCCAUUUUGUUAGUCAAGAUCUUCAUAUUGCCCCCACAUAUCUUCCGCUGCCUCAGCCCCGUGUUUUAGAAGUCUAUAGAAAUCAGAUUAGUGCCACCGCCACCUCUUCACCUCUUCUUGUAUCUAUUUCAGCUCCAUCCUGCCACUUUUCUAAACCGAUUGAAUGAUAAUCUCCUUUCGCUCUAAGGUUUAUUACCCCUCUAUUAUUAACGAUUUCCGUUCCAAUCCACCUUCACUUAUCGUCUUCUUCACCGUCUCUUUUCACCUUCUACUCUACCAUCACAACAUCCACAAGGACGACCAACAGGUAAUUUUUUUCCGAACCUUGCUCCACCAUUUGGGUUUCAUCCACCGACACAACACACCCCUUUCUCAUAUUCUCUCAUACAUUGCAAUCGGCAUGGUUUAACUCAUCGGGCUUGGUUUAUUCUACCACCUCGACGACUGAAGUAUCAGAGUACAAAGUGAGAGGUCGAUUCGUUGGAAAGGAAGGUCGACUGAGAGGAACUGAUGCCUUUUUUGGGUGAUGUAAUGUGCUUCCAGACUUCACGUUCGUUUGCUAUCGAGCUAAGUGUUCUUUGGAUUACAAAUCUACAUUUUUUAUUUGAUUUUAGGGCUUUUUUUAGUUCUACUACUCUGAAAAAGAAAAGAGACAGAGCUAUUCACUAAAUCAAUUCAUCACAUGUUUCUUUUCCCAUCUGUAUGAAGCUCUAAUUGAAAUACAUGUGCUUUUGUAGGUGAUUUAUGUUUUGAUUUCUAAUUUCACAGUUAGUAAUCCCAUUUGAUUCGUCUUUCAUCUACAUAUACGCAAUUUUCACCAAUUCAUUAAUUAGUCAAACAUGACACAAUUUCACUUCAAAUUUGAUCAUUUUUGUGUAUGUAUCAGACACUAAUAGUUAACCAAGUACCAAAAUAGUUCAAUUCAUAAUGGUUAGUGCCUUCAACUCAUUUUAAUUGCAUUGUAGAAGCAGGUGUUCCUGUCAUUCGUUUGGCUACUGGAGAAUCUGAUUUUCACACCCCGGCUAUUAUCGCUGACGUACGUGCUGAUUUCAAGAGCUAGAAAAAAUGCAGUUCCUGAAGGUUACACAAGAAGUUGAACAGUGAGAACAAAGCUAUCAAUGAUUUUGCUAUUUUGAUCAUUUGGAAUUUUAGAUGUCGAGUGGGGGAUAAUAGGUGCUUAUUAGGAGGAAUGUAUGUGAGACUGUUGGUCCCUCAAAUGUUCAGCAAACAAUAUAGACUCCCGGUAUUGUAAUAUUGUGUAUUAUAACACCCUAUUAUUGUUUGCAACCAU